ACAAACCUUUGGCCAUCUGUGGUAUUGGCGUGGUGUAUUGUAUUAAGGGCGGCGGUAGCUCAGGUGGUAGAGCGGGUCGUCCACUAAUCGCAAGGUUGGUGGUUUAAUUCCCAGCCCGCGUGACUCCACAUACCGCAGUGUCUUUGGGCAAGACACUGAACCCCAAGUUAGCGCCUUGCGUGGCAGAGUGUGUGUGUGAAUGAGACACAGUGUAAAGCGCUUUGGAUAAAAGCAUAUAUAUAAGUGCAGACCAUUUACCAUUGUACUUCUAUUCUGCACACUGUGAUUUGGUCCACUGCUCAGAGUUGAUGUGUGUUACUCACAAGUCUUCUAAUAGCUUCAGAGUGGUCCUUCUUGCUUAAAGGUAUUGUGAGGCAGGUGGGCCAACACCACAGAAUGGGGUGUGGCAUACUAAAGGCUCCAUGGAGACGACCCAUUUGUCCAUGCUGGUGUUGCAUCCUGCUAUCACGGGCCUGUUUGCUGGUAGGGCUUAUUUGCACACAUCCGGCAGAGCAGAUAGUAACCCCAUACUGGUCAAGAAGUCUCUCUGCCAGGAGUUGAACUUUUUAGCCUUCAAAUAUUCCCUGAUAUAAUCCCUGACUCCUAGCGGACUAGUGGAACUUCCUCAAUAAACUGCUGCAUCUUUCUUCUUAUAGCCUGCAUAUCGUAUUGUACUGUCAGCUGACCAUCCCAUGAUUCUUCUGGCAAUGUGUUCUCCCCAUUAAUAGUCCUGCAUGAACAAGCAUGAUGGUUAUAGUAACAAACACACACCCAGCUACCUAUAGAACUAUAAAACCAUUAAAAAUGGUUUUCGGCAACAGAAUCAAAAUCGUGCAUCAGGACAAACUGUAAAAAAAAAACGUUGAAUUUCAGAAUAUUUUGGACAAUGUAAGUAAAAUUGUUAAGUAGAAUACAUAAAAAAUGACUAUGUAAACAAGUCUAAAAAAAAAAAAAAAAGAAAAAAGAAAAAGGUGCAAGUCAGUCCACACAGGAUGCCGCUGAGCUUUUUUUUUGUGAUUGUUGCAGCCAAAAAAUGCUCGAUUUUGCUGCAGCUUUUUCCAAAAUGUGCGAUGCAACUUGCAAAGUUUUUUGUGGAAAACUACUUGAAUUGCGUGAGAUUGUCUUUCACAGUGACUGUUGUUGGUAAAUGAGACCUUUUAGCUGUAUUAAUGAAUUGAAGAGGGUCUUUGGCUGAAGGCGUGCUGUGAUGACAUCACACGACACGUCUAGGCCCAAAUCUGCGGAAAAUCCGCAGUAAGUUUUUUUUUUUUUAAUUGCAAGCUCCUCUGAAUACCGCAGAGUUUCCUUGAUUUUGCUUUCAUGUCUGUGAUCGCAUAAUCCUGGAGGGACCGGUAAGUAGUCUGUGACCUGGUCAUUCACAACAGAAGUAAGCUGUAAGCAAAUACUCAUACACACUUCAUCAGCUUAUACUGGCUCUUCAAUAAAUACAAGAAGUGCUUCAACUGAUAAUGCAAAGCAAUGAAAAUGUGUACCAUUCGUCAGCGUCUUUACGCCACGCCGGUCGUUCGUCGGCGUCUUUACAGUAAAGGUUGUCGUUCGUCGGCGUCUUUACAGUAAAGGUUGUCGUUCGUCGGCGUCUUUACAGUAAGGCUGUCGUUCGUCGGCGUCUUUACAGUAAAGGUUGUCGUUCGUCGGCGUCUUUACAGUAAGGCUGUCGUUCGUCGGCGUCUUUACAGUAAGGCUGUCGUUCAUCGCGUCUUUACAGUAAGGCUGUCGUUCGUCGGCGUCUUUACAGUAAGGCUGUCGUUCGUCGGCGUCUUUACAGUAAGGCUGUCGUUCGUCGGCGUCUUUACAGUAAGGCUGUCGUUCGUCGGCGUCUUUACAGUAAGGCUGUCGUUCGUCGGCGUCUUUACAGUAAGGCUGUCGUUCGUCGGCGUCUUUACAGUAAAGGUUGUCGUUCGUCGGCGUCUUUACAGUAAGGCUGUCGUUCGUCGGCGUCUUUACAGUAAAGGUUGUCGUUCGUCGGCGUCUUUACAGUAAGGCUGCCGUUCGUCGGCGUCUUUACAGUAAGGCUGUCGUUCGUCGGCGUCUUUACAGUAAAGGUUGUCGUUCGUCGGCGUCUUUACAGUAAAGGUUGUCGUUCGUCGGCGUCUUUACAGCAAGGCUGUCGUUCGUCGGCGUCUUUACAGUAAAGGUUGUCGUUCGUCGGCGUCUUUACAGUAAAGGCUGCCGUUCGUCGGCGUCUUUACAGUAAGGCUGUCGUUCGUCGGCGUCUUUACAGUAAGGCUGCCUUUCGUCGGCGUAUUUACAGUAAGGUUGUCGUUCGUCGGCGUCUUUACAGUAAAGGCUGUCGUUCGUCGGCGUCUUUACAGUAAAGGUUGUCGUUCGUCGGCGUCUUUACAGUAAAGGUUGUCGUUCGUCGGCGUCUUUACAGUAAAGGCUGUCGUUCGUCGGCGUCUUUACAGUAAAGGUUGUCGUUCGUCGGCGUCUUUACAGUAAGGUUGUCGUUCGUCGGCGUCUUUACAGUAAGGCUGUCGUUCGUCGGCGUCUUUACAGUAAAGGCUGUCGUUCGUCGGCGUCUUUACAGUAAAGGUUGUCGUUCGUCGGCGUCUUUACAGUAAAGGUUGUCGUUCGUCGGCGUCUUUACAGUAAAGGUUGUCGUUCGUCGGCGUCUUUACAGUAAAGGUUGUCGUUCGUCGGCGUCUUUACAGUAAGGCUGUCGUUCGUCGGCGUCUUUACAGUAAAGGUUGUCGUUCGUCGGCGUCUUUACAGUAAAGGUUGUCGUUCGUCGGCGUCUUUACAGUAAAGGUUGUCGUUCAUCGGCGUCUUUACAGUAAAGGUUGUCGUUCGUCAGUGUCUUUACAGGAAGCUGGACAUUUGUCAGCGUUUUUAACAUUGCGCUAAUCAUUUGUUAGUGUUUUUUUCAGAACAGUUAAUGUGCUACUUCAGAAUGUGUGAAAUCAUUCACUUUCUGUAGAAAUCUCUGGUGAAAUGCUAGAACAUACAAAAUGAACAGUGGUAGUCCAUAUCUGGCUUCAUAUGUAUGCAAAUUACACUGGAACUAUCUUGGAGCUAACAUAACACUGGUUAGCUGUUAGCACAAAACAGGUUUGCUUGUGCAAACAGACGUAGGCUGCCUUCAAAUCCUAUCGGAAAUCUCUUCCUGAGUGUGCAGAGAGCUCUGUGUCUCCGAACGCCGUGCAUGCACGAUACUGCUCAUCCUAAGCACACAGUAGCCCAAGAGCUCAACUAUACUGAAUAAAACAUUGAACACAAUAUAUUUUGUCACCAUGUUACACAUUUAAUACAUCUGUUACUAACAGACUCGUAGUAUACUUUUCCAGAUUAACAAAGUAAUAAUGGAACAAUUUAUCAAUUAUACAAAUAGUAGUUAGUUGCGGCACUGAUGAAAAUAAAUAAUUUGCAGGAAUGAUCGUGAUCGGAAGCUUUUUUUGGUCCGACUACACAACCGUUCGUUCUGGUCUACUAAUCUGACUGGACUAGAGGUGUUCCAAGAGUGCUGAUGUUUAGAACAACAGUCCUGCUACAGUACGUUUCACUGUUUGUCUGUGUUCACUACAUAAAAUUCCAGCUCUAGCAAUAGUUCACUGCAUUGAAACCGUUACUACACUUUCUAUGCGCUGUCAAUCAGUCUGUGUGGUGGCAUGGCAACGCCCAACACACUACCCCAGCUUUGGCUUCUUUGGGAAUUAUUUUGACGGAGCACAGAAAAACUAAAUAUUUGGCCAUAUUGUUAAUAUUAAUUUGAAUUACUUGAUAUUAAUUUCUUGUUUAUAGAACUGUUGUAUAAAAGCAAUAUCACAAGACUCCAUUACUAAAGAAAAGGCAUGUUGAAGCUCGUUUAAAGUUUGCGACAACUCAUUUGGACAAGCCUAUGAAAUACUGGGAGAGUGUAGUCUGGCCAGACGAGGGCGAGAUUUACUUUUUGGCUGUUAUACUACACACCAUGUUUGGGGAAGAAAUGGCACUGCACAUCACUCUAAUCGAUCCAAAACAUACAGCAAAGGAAACUCAGUUGGUUUUGGAGAAAAAAAAUCAAGGCGUUAGAAUGUCCCAGUCAAUCACCUGACUCGAAUCCAGCUGAACAAGAUUUAAAGACGAUAUGUUUAGAAGAACGGGCCAAAAUCACACCUGAAUACUGCGGCACAUUAAUUUCUUCAUACAGGAAGCGUCUUGAAGCCGUCAAUACAAACAAAGGCUUCUCCACUACGUAUUAAAUACAUUUCAGUUAGUGUGUUCAGUACUUUGUUCCCUGUGUCAUUCCUCUUUAUUACACACUAAACUUCAUUUAUGGAUUUUAAUGUUUGGAUUUCUUUAUAUGUGUGGAUUUCUUGAGUUAAUACCAAAGUCUGGUGUAAAUUUCAUGUGAAUGGCCUCAUUGGAAAUAUAUUUACUGAACAAAAGUUGACGCGUUCAAUACUUAUUUCCCCUACGGUGUGUGUCCUGUCGCACAAUGUGGUGAAAACUCUACACGAUGUUAACAGUGUGAUUAAG
ensembl:lncRNA